UGCAGAGAACUUCCAGAGAUGGAUUGGUGGCCUUCGGGAACUCUGACACAGGUGCUGCAUGGCUGUCGUCAGCUCGUGUCGUGAGAUGUUGGGUUAAGUCCCGUAACGAGCGCAACCCUUGUCCUUAGUUACCAGCACGUUAUGGUGGGCACUCUAAGGAGACUGCCGGUGACAAACCGGAGGAAGGUGGGGAUGACGUCAAGUCAUCACGGCCCUUACGGCCUGGGCUACACACGUGCUACAAUGGUCGGUACAAAGGGUUGCCAAGCCGCGAGGUGGAGCUAAUCCCAUAAAACCGAUCGUAGUCCGGAUCGCAGUCUGCAACUCGACUGCGUGAAGUCGGAAUCGCUAGUAAUCGUGAAUCAGAAUGUCACGGUGAAUACGUUCCCGGGCCUU
rnacentral:rRNA from 1 species